AAUUUGUUUUUAAUUACAGCUGCAGCAUUUAAGUCAUUCCAUUGAACAAUUACAUUCUGCGAGCUCAGAAGUAUAAUAUGUUAAUAGACAUUCCAUUUCUGAAAUUUUACAUAACAAGUAGAGAGAAGGAAAAAUCAAAAUUUUUGCCGACUUACCUUGCCAAAGACGGUUUUUAACUCCAAAUCUUUCCAGACUUCAGUUGAAGUCAAAAACAAAAAUGUGAUGAUUAAAAGAAUCAUUUUUAAUAUUAAUUAACUCAUUCCAAAGACUUUUUAGUCAAUCUACCUCUAGACAGAAUUUGAAAGCAAAAAGUUUUUAUUUAUAAAAAAAAAAUACAAUAAUUUUGAUUACAUAUAAUAGAAGCUAGAAUAAAACCUUACUUGUUUAGAAUAGACAAUGAGGUAAGCCAAAUUUUGUAAUAUUGAAUUGUCAUCAUUUAUGUUUUUUUUUCUGUCAUAAAACUCAUUUAUCUUUGUGCAUAAUAUAUUAAAAAUGUAAUCAUAAAACUCUGCAUCUGAUUAUAUUUUUAAUGUAUUAUUAAAAAUUCUCAGUGAAAUUUUGACAGAACUGUAUAAAUUCAAUUUUACAGUCGAGACGAAUAUCACGGUCUUCCACAUUUUAUUUCUGUCCACAGUAAAUCGUUUCCACUUUCCUAUUAUUUGAUUAUCAGUAUUAAUUACAAUGUGAUAAAGUUCUGUUAUAUGAUUAUAGUUCAAUUUUUGUUAUUUCUUUAUUUGUUACACAUGAAUGAUUUGUAAAAUGCCAGCUAAAUUUUUGAAAUGUAUACACCGGAUGGGUUUUAUACCAAUAUGUAAGCUUUAUAAUGAUCUAUUAUAUCUUCUGUUGUUUUUAAAAGAAAAACUAUUUGAUAAGGAGUGUAUUUUUGAGAAUUUUUUUUGUACUUAUCUAUUAACAUUCCAAAAAAAUUUUGUAUAUUUUAUUUAGUAUCUUCUAAUUGAUUUUUAAUGAAAUUAAAUUUUUGCUUGAAUUUAUGCAGGUGUUUUGUAAUUGAAUUUAUAUUUACUACACCAUGUUCUCUAUGCAAGUGGUGCCCAAACUAUGGUUCCAAGCCAAAUCUGGCCAGCAAACACAUUUGAUACACCACUUAUAAAUGAUAGAAGUGGGCCUGAUUUUUGUGUAUGGAAUAUUCAAAAUAAUAUUGGUCUUGCUACAUGUGACUUGUGCGUAAUUUGGUCCACCAGUCAAAAAGUUUGGACACCACUGCUCUUAUCAUAUAGUGUUAUCACAUAACUACCUCUUCAAUUAUCUACUAUGCAUUAGCACACCUCAUAACUAUAAUUAUAACUCUUUAAAAUUUUUUGGUAAAUGUUUCGGUUAUGAAUUUUUGGAUGUAACACUUAAACAUUAAAAACAAUCAAGAAAAGUGCAGUAAAUUAGUCUGACGAGUUUAACAUUGCUCAUCUACAUCAAUUGCCUUACAUCCAAUGAUAGUAUGCAAUAGUAUUACAUACUGAUGUCUUAUACGUAGAUGAAAUGGCCAUUUUUUAAAAUUUUGAUUAGUUUUUGAUACUUAAAUUUUUAAUGGAAAUAUUAAGUUAAUGAAAAAUAUAGAUUAAAGAAGAAAAAAAUUUGAUCAUCUGAAUAUAUUCAUUAAUUUUAACACAUAAUACAUUUUAAAUAGUAAUUGUAAGAAGAUAUGAAACAGAAUUUGAGGACAAUAAUGAUUUAUGUAAAAUAAUAAUGCUGUAAUAGCAAAAUAAUUAUUGAAGGGUGGUCAAACCAUGUUGCAAUGAGUCAUAUAUUGCAUAUCAGAAAUAUGAGCCACUACAUUCCUUAUUUGAACAGUAUUUUAUAUAUAUAAUCAAAAUACUAUAAUAAAUAUCACUUAUGUUAAGAAUAUGCGUAUUUUGGGUACAUAUGUAAGAAAGGCUACCUAAAAUACUUUGAGAAAAUAAUUUUGUGUAUUAUAAAUUAAUUUCAUUUCUUUUUAUCUAAAUACAUAUUAACAUUUCUCUCAUUAUAGCUUUGUGAGUUAUAGUUGGGACGCUUAAUCGUUUAAAAUUUAUACAUACCCUUUAGCUUUCAGUUGCCUGUUUAAGUUGUGAGUUACAAUUACAAUUUGUGCUUAUAUCACACUACAUAACAGUCGACAAACGUAAAAUCAUUACAUGUGUGUAAGCAGCAUGUUUCCAAUUUAUGAGAAGUAAUUGCAUAAAUGUCGGGAGCUGCUAUAAGGAUCUAGAAGAGCUGCAGUUUGACUGCCAUGGUUUGUUGUAUAAUAACUGAUUGAUAGUUUUUGCUUUAUUGCUGCAAUUCUAAUUAGUGUUAUUUUAAUUUUAAAAUGUUUUUAAACUCAAAAAAUAAUAUAUCUGUGCAUCAUGUUUUUUUUAUAUUAAUUAAGAUUUAUGUACAUACAGUAGACUCAAUAAC
rnacentral:lncRNA from 1 species